GCCCGCUCCCCUCAGCGCCGCGGCCGAGCCCCGCUGGGAGCGGAGCCUCCCGCCUGCCCUUUGCGCUGUUUCCUCCCGGCACAGCCCGCACGGCGCGGCCCCGCAGCGCCGAGGCCUCGAAAGCGACUUGCCCGGGGGCUGCCGGGGUCACUGGGGCGGUCGGGAGCGACAGGAGCCUGGGCCGAGUCACUUGGGCUCAUGCUGGCUGGGGUCGUGUUUUGGGGUCUUCAUGAGCCAGAAAAUGUCUGCAGAGCCCCUGACUAUUUUUUGGAGGUCUAAAGACUCCUUUGGGCAUUAUAAACGGAAGCGGGAGGAGACUGGAAGGUGAGGGCUGAGAUGGCCUGAAGCACCGUAAUGAAGGGGGACGAGGAGCCAGAGCAUCUGUGGGAUUUCUUUAGUCUUCAGUAAAGAUCUUCAGUGAGUUACCUACCAUGGGAGUCGGGAUAUCAGCAGCUUCCAAAGUCAUAAAGUGCAGAAAGAAGUAAAGUGACUGUUGGGUCAUCAGACUGCAUGUCAGUAUCAGCCACAGGGAGAUGGAAUAAUGCUCCUUACUGUUGGAAGGAAGACUCACCUCCAUGCAGAUAAUACACUUAAAGAUGGCUGUUCUAUGAAGAGCACAAUACUUGGAAUGUGUGCAAUAAAUGUCAAGACUCUUCAGGAACAUGA